AAAGGGAAAGGCGGAUAAGGUGGUCACACCACUUGGAAUCAAGGCCACCUGAGAUAAAUAGUGGUGCACACUUGAACCUAGGUUCAACAUAAGACAACGGGGACUUAAAAAACAUUAUCUAAAGUAUCCCUUCAUUCAAAUAUUAAGCAUAAUAAUUUUACUUUAUUAAAAUGAUCAACUAUUUACAAGUGAUAGAUAUGUCUUCUUAAAUAGGCAAUGGGAAGGUCCUCCUAAAAAUACCAAAUAAGGGAAAAGGUAACCUAACAAAAGAUGAAAGGGCUGUCUAGCAAAAACAAAGAGUGUCUUUCUAGAAGUCUAACAAUGAGGGAAAGGAAGAACAUGCUUUACUCGUUACAAAACCAUGAAAAAGUAAAUUCUCACUUCUCCAAGUGUG
rnacentral:lncRNA from 1 species